GAUCGAUGGACUCAGGAUAAACGCUGGCGGCGUGCAUGAGACGAUGCAAGUCGAACGAACGAUCGGGCUUGCUCGAUCGCUAGUGGCGGACGGCUGAGUAACGCGUAAGGUGACCUGUCCCGAAGUGGGGAAUAACUGCCCGAAAGGGUGGCUAAUACCGCAUGUGGUCGCACGUUCGGUCGUGCGAGUAAAGCCGUGAGGCGCUUCGGAGGGGCCUGCGUCCGAUUAGCUCGGUUGGUGGGGUAAUGGCUCACCAAGGCGACGAUCGGUAGGUGGUCUGAGAGGACGAUCACCCAGACUGGGACUGAGACACGGCCCAGACUCCUACGGGAGGCAGCAGUCGGGAAUUUUGCUCAAUGGGCGAAAGCCCUGAAGCAGCAACGCCGCGUGAGGGAUGAAGGCCUUCGGGUUGUAAACCUCUUUUCCCAGGGACGAUGUAUGACGGUACCUGGGGAAUAAGCCACGGCUAACUACGUGCCAGCCGCGGC
rnacentral:rRNA from 1 species